UCCUGCCCCACCGGCCAUGGCCACCAGGCUCCUCUGCUGGGUGGCCCUUUGUCUCCUGGGAGUAGAGCCCACACAUGCUGGAGUCACCCAGACACCCAGGCACAAGGUGACAAAGAGGGGACAAGAUGUGACUAUGAAUUGUGAGCCAAUUUCA